rnacentral:lncRNA from 1 species
UUUAUAUCCUACAAAAGCGACCAGCUUUGGUCGCCUUUUGGUCAAACGGUCGUUGGUCGCUAUUUUGGUCAAACAGUCUAUACUUAGUGAAUAGUAUAUCAUAAGUAUAUAUAUUAUAUAUAUAUAUAAGCUAUAUUCGAUACGGUAUUACCUAAUACACUUAUACUUAGUGCAUAGUAUAGCGUAAGUACAUAUAUUAUAUAUAUAAGCUAUAUUCGAUACAGUAUUACCUAAUACACUUAUACUUAGUGAAUAGUAUAAUGUAAAUACAUAUAUUAUAUAUAUAUAAGCUGUAUUCGAUAUAGUAUUACCUAAUACAUUUAUACUUAGUGCAUAGUAUAGCGUAAGUACAUAUAUUAUAUAUAUAU